rnacentral:rRNA from 1 species
GAUGAACGCUGGCGGCGUGCCUAAUGCAUGCAAGUCGAGCGAACGGACGAGAAGCUUGCUUCUCUGAUGUUAGCGGCGGACGGGUGAGUAACACGUGGAUAACCUACCUAUAAGACUGGGAUAACUUCGGGAAACCGGAGCUAAUACCGGAUAAUAUUUUGAACCGCAUGGUUCAAAAGUGAAAGACGGUCUUGCUGUCACUUAUAGAUGGAUCCGCGCUGCAUUAGCUAGUUGGUAAGGUAACGGCUUACCAAGGCAACGAUGCAUAGCCGACCUGAGAGGGUGAUCGACCACACUGGAACUGAGACACGGUCCAGACUCCUACGGGAGGCAGCAGUAGGGAAUCUUCCGCAAUGGGCGAAAGCCUGACGGAGCAACGCCGCGUGAGUGAUGAAGGUCUUCGGAUCGUAAAACUCUGUUAUUAGGGAAGAACAUAUGUGUAAGUAACUGUGCACAUCUUGACGGUACCUAAUCAGAAAGCCACGGCUAACUACGUGCCAGCAGCCGCGGUAAUACGUAGGUGGCAAGCGUUAUCCGGAAUUAUUGGGCGUAAAGCGCGCGUAGGCGGUUUUUUAAGUCUGAUGUGAAAGCCCACGGCUCAACCGUGGAGGGUCAUUGGAAACUGGAAAACUUGAGUGCAGAAGAGGAAAGUGGAAUUCCAUGUGUAGCGGUGAAAUGCGCAGAGAUAUGGAGGAACCCCAGUGGCGAAGGCGACUUUCUGGUCUGUAACUGACGCUGAUGUGCGAAAGCGUGGGGAUCAAACAGGAUUAGAUACCCUGGUAGUCCACGCCGUAAACGAUGAGUGCUAAGUGUUAGGGGGUUUCCGCCCCUUAGUGCUGCAGCUAACGCAUUAAGCACUCCGCCUGGGGAGUACGACCGCAAGGUUGAAACUCAAAGGAAUUGACGGGGACCCGCACAAGCGGUGGAGCAUGUGGUUUAAUUCGAAGCAACGCGAAGAACCUUACCAAAUCUUGACAUCCUUUGACAACUCUAGAGAUAGAGCCUUCCCCUUCGGGGGACAAAGUGACAGGUGGUGCAUGGUUGUCGUCAGCUCGUGCCGUGAGAUGUUGGGUUAAGUCCCGCAACGAGCGCAACCCUUAAGCUUAGUUGCCAUCAUUAAGUUGGGCACUCUAAGUUGACUGCCGGUGACAAACCGGAGGAAGGUGGGGAUGACGUCAAAUCAUCAUGCCCCUUAUGAUUUGGGCUACACACGUGCUACAAUGGACAAUACAAAGGGCAGCGAAACCGCGAGGUCAAGCAAAUCCCAUAAAGUUGUUCUCAGUUCGGAUUGUAGUCUGCAACUCGACCACAUGAAGCUGGAAUCGCUAGUAAUCGUAGAUCAGCAUGCUACGGUGAAUACGUUCCCGGGUCU